GGAACGGGAAGCUCCCAAUGGUCACAGGGCCACAAAAUCACUGACUUGGCAGAUGAACAUCUUGAUCCCUAUCACAGCCCUCUGCAAAUGGAAUGCUUUUAUCUUCCCUUAUCUCCAGGCACAUGUCUUCCUCUUCCUGAGCUCUUUGAAAGAAAAAAGCCUUUUUUUUUCCUUCUCUUGCUGUUUAGUUCCCAGCACAGGCUCUGGUGCUCAGCUACAGACCCAAAGGCUGCUGUGACCCUCAGAUUUCCAGCAGCUGAGAAUCCCUCAAAGAAAUGGAGAGGCUCCCAUCUGAUAAUGGACACUGUGUACAGGACCCACACCUUGCUGCAGGAAAACAGGACAUUCCAGAGCUGUACAGCCCUGCCCUGCACACCUUUCCAGGCCUCAGUGGUGUGGGUGCUGAUUUCACCUCUGUAUCCCAGACAACGUGGCCAGGGCACCAUGCCUCCAUUUUGAGAGAGGAUCCCAGAAAAUCCCACCCGGAGUUGUCUGAGGAGGGCAGGAUCUGACUGCAGGCACCAAGAGGGAUUCAAACCCUGCUGGCAAACCACAUUCCUCAAACAAGACCUUUUUUUGUUCAAACACUCGGACAUCACUUUUUCCCCGAGUUCUAAUUAUCUCUGCUCCUGAGGGGCUGAGUUCCAGAGCCACCGGACUGGGAUGCAACUGUGAGCACUAAAUCAAGGCCUCUGAAAAAUCCAAAUAAAUCCGAAAACCUAAUAAAAGCCACGGGCAGCUGCCACAGCACUGCCUGGGCCACCAAACCAGCCUGAGUGAAAGGGAAAAAAUUCAUUGGAAACCAUGAACUUCUAUUAAUAGGAGCUCACGUUGUAUUUCCCAGGAGGAAGUUGGAAAGCUGCAAUCAGCAAUGGCCAAAUCUGUGACCUGGGCAGGAAAUGCUGCAGUGUCACUGUCACAGUGUCAACGUGGACUCUGGGGGCACCUCACACCUGUGCCAGUGCCCUGGGGGUGUCACCCUGAUUUUUUAAGUUUUUCUAAACCUUCUGAUUUUGACAUUCUUGUAACAAAACUUUCUCACACAAUUUCUGUAGACAACUCAUUGUUCUUUUAUGGAGGAAAAAUCUGAUGGACUGUUGGUUUGUCCAGUGUCAUUGCAGAGGUGGCACUGUCACUUUCCAACCCACUGUCACCUCUGGAAAACUGUAAAUCUUGGAGCAGAAAAUAAACUUCAUUUUUCUUCACCUUGAGAG